GGACAGUAUCCUACCAGAACUGUACCUUAAAACCUUUUGAAACAUGAAAAAAAGAUCUGCCUUGAUCUGAAAAGACAGGGACGGAAG
rnacentral:ncRNA from 1 species